rnacentral:rRNA from 1 species
GACGAACGCUGGCGGCGUCGCCGUAAGUACAUGCAAGUCGAACGAACGGAUUGAGGAGGCUUGGCUCGUUCAAGUGAAGUUAGUGGCGGACGGGUGAGUAACACGUGGGUAACCUGCCCUUCAGUGGGGGAUAACAUCCGGAAGCGGGUGCUAAUACCGCAUAGUUUCUUUUUCCGCCUGGAAGAAGAAGGAAAGAUGGCCUUUGCGCUAUCACUGAGGGAUGGAUCCGCGGCGUAUUAGUUAGUUGGUGGGGUAAUGGCCUACCAAGACGAUGAUACGUAGCCGACCUGAGAGGGUGAUCGGCCACAUUGGGACUGAGACACGGCCCAG